rnacentral:rRNA from 1 species
CUUGCUCUUUCCGGAAUUGAGUGGCAAACGGGUGAGUAACACGUAAACAACCUGCCUUCAGGAUGGGGACAACAGACGGAAACGACUGCUAAUACCGAAUAAGUUCCAAGAGCCGCAUGGCCCAUGGAAGAAAAGGUGGCCUCUACCUGUAAGCUAUCGCCUGAAGAGGGGUUUGCGUCUGAUUAGCUGGUUGGAGGGGUAACGGCCCACCAAGGCGACGAUCAGUAGCCGGUCUGAGAGGAUGAACGGCCACACUGGAACUGAGACACGGUCCAGACUCCUACGGGAGGCAGCAGUGGGGAAUCUUCCGCAAUGGGCGAAAGCCUGACGGAGCAACGCCGCGUGAGUGAUGACGGCCUUCGGGUUGUAAAACUCUGUGAUCCGGGACGAAAAGGCAGAGUGCGAAGAACAAACUGCAUUGACGGUACCGGAAAAGCAAGCCACGGCUAACUACGUGCCAGCAGCCGCGGUAAUACGUAGGUGGCAAGCGUUGUCCGGAAUUAUUGGGCGUAAAGCGCGCGCAGGCGGCUUCCCGAGUCCCUCUUAAAAGUGCGGGGCUUAACCCCGUGAUGGGAAGGAAACUGGGAAGCUGGAGUAUCGGAGAGGAAAGUGGAAUUCCUAGUGUAGCGGUGAAAUGCGUAGAGAUUAGGAAGAACACCGGUGGCGAAGGCGACUUUCUGGA